AUCUUCAUCAACCCUGUCAUGUGGAUUUGGCCACAGGUUCUCCUCUACAUCACGAUGGAUGUUUUUAUUAGCCAAACAUCUUGGAAAGAACCUUCGGGCACGGCCAAUAAUGUGAUACACACAUGCAG